rnacentral:rRNA from 1 species
UACGGAGGAUGCGAGCGUUAUCCGGAUUUAUUGGGUUUAAAGGGUGCGUAGGCGGUCCGUUAAGUCAGCGGUAAAAUUGCGGGGCUCAACCCCGUCGAGCCGUUGAAACUGUCAGACUUGAGUUGGCGAGAAGUACGCGGAAUGCGCGGUGUAGCGGUGAAAUGCACAGAUAUCGCGCAGAACUCCGAUUGCGAAGGCAGCGUACCGGCGCCACACUGACGCUGAGGCACGAAAGCGUGGGGAUCGAACAGG